rnacentral:rRNA from 1 species
UACGUAGGGUGCGAGCGUUGUCCGGAAUUAUUGGGCGUAAAGAGCUUGUAGGCGGUUUGUCGCGUCUGCUGUGAAAAUCCGGGGCUCAACCCCGGGCCUGCAGCCGAUACGGGCAAACUAGAAUUCGGUAGGGGAGACUGGAAUUCCUGGUGUAGCGGUGAAAUGCGCAGAUAUCAGGAGGAACACCGGUGGCGAAGGCGGGUCUCUGGGCCGAUAUUGACGCUGAGGAGCGAAAGCGUGGGGAGCAAACAGG